AGAACGGUAGGGCUGAUUGUGCUGAUUGUGUUUUUCGGAGUGUUUGGGGUUUAUAAGGUGGCAGGUAGGUGUCAUACACAAGGGGGCGGGCGGGCGCUGUGAGCUGGAUUUGGUUGGUGAGUAAAACGUUUAGGGUUUGUUCAGGUUUUAGUUUUGCUUUAGCAUAUACGUGCGAGUAGUGUGGUUAGAUUGCUGGGUUGCUUUUACUGCUGAUAGUAGCUAAAGCCAUUACUUAUGAGCUUUAUGUCAAGGCGAUGCUAUUAUCGCCAAGGCUGUUCCGUUACAAAUAUUCACAAAGUUGCUGAUUGAUGACACAAACAACAAUGGUGAUAAGGACGUGUGUUAUUUUUUGCCGGUGCUGGUGCUGGAAAGCCUGGAAAUUUUGUUUUUGAACCCACGUUCGCCGCUGCUGACUAUACAAACGGCACCCGGGUCCGAGCGCAACAGGUCGUUCUCCGUGGUUUUGGGCUCGCUCAUAGUAGGACAAAUAAGAUGGCUUUUACUGUGCGCUGGUAUCAGGGGUUGUUUCUGCUACUGGUCAUGCUGCUUGGAGCAACCUGUCUUGGGAAUCCGCGUGGGGUGACGCGGAAACUCAUAUCCAUGACGGUUGCAAGCAUCGGACGAGCACCGUACCGAUUCAACAAGCAAUAAGUUAGGUUCUAUCCCAUGGGGAUAGAAUUUUAGGAUGGAUUGUAGCAAAGCCGUGGAUACGCAGAUCAAGCGGUUAAGCGAGUAAAGCGUCAUUUUCAAUCAGGAUGGAUGACAAACCGCCGUACAACCAAGGCGUUUUGGCUUUGGCAGCAGCUGCACAGAGUCUGUGGCACCAAGACAGGAAUUAUUACGUGCCAGGCUAUUUUAGGAAUACCCGUCCCUGCAUUCAAGCGUUGUUGCUACAAGAGUGCUGUUGGCCACACGCUGAAAAAGCGCAACCAUUCUUAACAAGCAUCGAUCUGUCAUAACGUUAAUAUCUUGACUCACAAAUUCGGUGCGCUAGCUUAACUGGGGUCCUAGCCCCUGCUGAGGAACAAAGCGCUUGCUUGCGCGAGAACAAUGCAAGCGAACAAUAGUCGCGUUUAUAAGCCGUGCGUUAUGCGCCAACAUGAGCUCCUUGGACAUCGGCGGAUAUGUCGAUACAGUUCAGCAUGCUUUCGCGCUCUGCAAAAGGCCAGGAGGGACAUAUAUUUGCAUGCGGUGCAGCAGGACCAACCUGCGUCGGAGCUGUCGCAGCGUCUACUUACAGCGGCAAAGGCCUUGGUUCUAUCCGUCGCUGUAUUGGCCGGAGGAUUGACCACGCCACCUGCUGCGGUUGCCAAUAACGUUCGGUUGGCCGAUGUCGAAAGCCCCGAGUUGCGUGCAGGUGAGACCUGCUGGGCGUGAUGAUGUAUCCAUACGGUCCAUCGAUGUGUAUAGAACUUGUGUUACUUGCAUAGUUACUUCAAACUUGCCUUAUCG
rnacentral:lncRNA from 1 species